CGCCGCGGUAAUACCGGCGCCUCAAGUGGUAGUCGCUUUUAUUGGGCCUAAAACGUCCGUAGCCGGUCUGAUACAUUCGUGGGUAAAUCAACUAGCUCAACUAGUUGAAUUCUGCGAGGACGGUCAGACUUGGGACCGGGAGAGGUGUGGGGUACGCUCAGGGUAGGGGUAAAAUCCUGUCAUCCUAAGCGGACCACCUGUUGCGAAGGCGCCACACUAGAACGGAUCCGACGGUCAGGGACGAAGCCUAGGGGCACGAACCGGAUUAGAUACCCGGGUAGUCCUAGGUAUAAACGCUGUGGACUUGAUGUUGGGGGCGCUCCGAGCGCUUCCAGUGUCGAAGCGAAGGUGAUAAGUCCACUGCCUGGGAAGUACGGUCGCAAGGCUGAAACUUAAAGGAAUUGGCGGGGGAGCACCGCAACCUGAGGAUUGUGCGGUUUAAUUGGAUUCAACGCCGGAAAACUCACCAUAGCCGACGGACAAAUGAAGAUCAGUGUAAUGAGCUUAUCGGAUUGUUCGAGAGGUAGUGCAUGGCCGCCGUCAGUUCGUACCGCAAGGCGUUCUGUUAAGUCAGAUAACGAACGAGACCCUCAUCCCUAUUUGCUAAGAUCUCUCCGAAGAUCACAGGACUAUAGGGAGACCGCUGGCGCGAAGUCAGAGGAAGGCGAGGGCAACGGUAGGUCAGUAUGCUCCGAAUGCUAUGGGCUACACGCGCAAUACAAAGGACAGGACAAUGGGCUGCUGCUCCGAAAGGAAUGAUAGCUAUCCCGAAACCUGUUCGUAGUUCGGAUUGAGGGCUGUAACUCGCCCUCAUGAAGCUGGAUUAGGUAGUAAUCGCGUCUCAAAAAGGCGCGGUGAAUAUGCCCCUGCUCCUUGCACACACCGCCCGUCAAACCAUCUUAGUUGUGGGUGGGUGAGGCUACCUCUC
rnacentral:rRNA from 1 species